UCUCUGAAGGUACACAAGAAAUUGACUCUCCUGUGAGAGCACCAAACAGAAGGAAACUUCUGCUCUUUUUGCUUAGAAAAGGUCUCGCUCUUUAAAUACAGGACUCACUGGAGUGACACUCACCUAGAACACCCAAAUUUUGACUUCAUAGGCAGGUACCUCAACGAGAUGGAGAACUGGGCUGAUGGAAGCACUGUAAAUUUCAACAAAAUAAAAGCAAAGUCCUUCUCCUGGAGGGGAACAACCCCCUGCAGCAAUACCUGCUGAGAAAAGCUGCAAAGCAACCUUACAGAGAAGGUUUUCAUCUACAAACAGGACAAAACCACAAGAUUUGAGGAAUUGCAAUUGGAACACUUCAUGAAUUUUAUGCAUGCAAGCAUUAAUACCAAGAAUUCUGUAUUAUGAAUAUGUGAAA